ACACGACUACAUUAGAUACCCGUGUAGUCCUAGCCGUAAACGAUACUCGCUAGGUGUCGGCCACGGUGCGACCGUUGUCGGUGCCGUAGGGAAGCCGUGAAGCGAGCCACCUGGGAGUACGGCCGCAAGGCUGAAACUUAAAGGAAUUGGCGGGGGAGCACCGCAACGGGAGGAGCGUGCGGUUUAAUUGGAUUCAACACCGUAAACUCACCAGGGAAGACUGUUACAUGAAGGCCGAGAUGAAGACUCUGCUAGAUUUUCAG
rnacentral:rRNA from 1 species